GAAUCUCCAAUAUUUGAAAAUUAGAUCCGACACUGGGAUGGGAGGAUGUAAACAGCCUAAAUCUAAAAUCUUCACAUGGUUUUUUGGACUGUGACGUUAGCGAUGGCUGAGACGUUGGUGAUACGUUAUUCUAGUGCAUACCCGGGCUGGGAAUAAUGCAUUCAUAUAAACGCUUCCACUGUUGCGAGCUUGAUAUUUAAGCAACUGAAUAUACAUAUUUAAUUCAAGCACGGAAAAAACGAUGAAAUAAAUAACAGAUAAUGAUCUUAGACAUUUAAAUCGAAAGGAGCUUUGCCAGCAAUAGCUAGCGAUGCAAAAACUAGUAAAAACUACAAAUUAUAUGGGCAUUAGUAAGCGAGCAAUAGACAAGUGAAAUUAAAUUACAAAAAAUUUAAAGCCAUUUUCUGCCUGCCUAAGUCCUCCAUGGCAGUCCUACCUCUUCUUCGGAACAGUUCCACCAUUUCUUGAUCAUUCGAGAAAGUGAAGGACCUAUUCUGUGCUGCCUUUGUGGCGUUUUGGCCACUUCUUGGCAACAUAAAUAAAACAAAGUGAUUAUGAAAAACUCUUUUUACUUUUAUAUUACAAUGCAUUUUUAUUAUUCAGAAAGUUCGGAUCAAAAAGACAGUAUUUAAUUGGCAGAUUAUAUGUACAUAUAUAUUAGUAGAAUAGAAUAUACAGGCAUUACGAUUAUUGCGAUAUAAAACAACCAAGUCGCUUAUAUUUUACAUUUUAUUUAAUAAGAAGAUUUUAGAGUCUGCCAUUUUGCGUUUAGUGGGAUUUAAGUCUUACAACGUGAAAAUUCAUUGUAUGAAAAGUUAUGCCAAUAUGUUGGACUCUGGCCCAUUUCUUCCCGCAGCGGGAAAGAGACAUCACUCUGUCUACGGAAAAUAGUUACGAGCAUGCUGUAAUAUUUCAUUCCGUCUCUAGUAAUGUGAGAUGACCCGGGAGGAGGACGAUGAGCGGUGUGGUGCCAUUUGCUAUCCGAUUGUGAAGCCGUUACUCCGGUAGGCUGCCCUAUGCCAGGGGAAGGAUUCAACGAUCAACGAACUCAAUGACCAAAUCAGAGAGAAAGAUGUUUGCAUCGACCCAAUUGGAAAGCAAGCUUGAACUCGACAGGUCAAUGGAAAUACAGACAACAGAUGAUAAUCUAGUGUCUACUAUAAAGAAAAGCGACCAACUUCUGUCUUCAUCGAUCGUAAAGAAGGAUAAGAAAAUGUAUGAUCUAGUUGGAAAGGGACUAAGCCUAAUAACAAUUAAAAUUCAAUUGACAACACAGCUGAUUGAAUAUCGGAUUUCCAAUCUUAAAUCACA
rnacentral:misc_RNA from 1 species